rnacentral:snoRNA from 1 species
UACUCUUACUGAGCUUUGUUAAAAAUUGAUUGGAAAACUUACAGACAGGUGCAAAAAAUAAAUCCUCUUUUGCAACCCAGAACUCAUUGUUCAGUAUGAGUUUUGAUACAUAUAAGAAGGAAUAUU